rnacentral:tRNA from 1 species
CGGGGUGUAGCUCAGCCUGGUAGAGCGCCUGCUUUGGGAGCAGGAAGUCGCUGGUUCGAAUCCAGUCGCCCCGACCA